rnacentral:rRNA from 1 species
UACGAAGGGGGCUAGCGUUGCUCGGAAUCACUGGGCGUAAAGCGCACGUAGGCGGCUUUUUAAGUCGGGGGUGAAAUCCUGGGAGCUCAACUCCAGAACUGCCUUCGAUACUGGAGAGCUUGAGUCCGGGGAGAGGUGAGUGGAACUGCGAGUGUAGAGGUGAAAUUCGUAGAUAUUCGCAAGAACACCAGUGGCGAAGGCGGCUCACUGGCCCGGUACUGACGCUGAGGUGCGAAAGCGUGGGGAGCAAACAGGG